GUUUCACCAGUGACUUGGUGACAACCAGCCUUGCUCACGAAGCGUCAGCCGUAUCCUUUCUGUGUGCAGUGGGGUGUGGGUUGUGUGGAGCCGCGGUGUCUGUGGAAUUCACAGGCUGGGGCCGGAAUCCAUGGCCCCCGUCGCCGCUGCCACCCCCCAGGCAUUUGUUUUAUUGCUCUUUUUUCACCAACUCAAACUGAAUGGUCACCUUAACAGUUUUAUUGAGAUCCAUUAUUUAUUCUUCUCCAUCUUGUUCUGUGUUCCUGGAAGCCAACCUUUAUAAGCUGCAGGAAAUGGAUUUCCUACUCUCCACCUUCUGAUUGGGCUUGACCAACGGGGAGCACUGGCAGAAGACAAGCAUGGGAGGAAAAAGAGAUCAGGGUAUUCAUUUCCCCAGAUCCCUCCCUGUCCUCUACUUAAAGGUCAUAAGUCCAUCCAGGUGUCAUCUCUUAUGUAGGAUUCUAGCGACAUCUUCUCCCCUUGUUCCUUUAGGCUUAGGAGUAAUAACACUUUUCUGUUCUUGCUAGUCCUGAGGAUAAGUGUUUUGUCACCUCUUGUUGAUUUCCCUGACUUCAAAUACCAAACACUAUUUUUUUGCUAUUUUUGAACUUUAUGUAAGUAGAAUCAUACAGUAUAUAUUUUGGGGGGUAAGGUUUUUUUUGUUUUGUUUUACUCAAUAAUAGGUUUGUGAGCAUCAUCCAUGCUAUUGCAUAAAACAGUAGUUUGUUUUCAUUGCUGCAUAGUAUUUUUCACUUAUACAUUGUACUAUUAAUAAAUAUUUGAGGGUUUUUUUUCCCAAAA
rnacentral:lncRNA from 1 species